rnacentral:rRNA from 1 species
AGAGGUUUGAUCCUGGCUCAGGAUGAACGCUGGCGGCGUGCCUAAUACAUGCAAGUCGAGCGGCAGCAUAGUCUUCGGACUGAUGGCGAGCGGCGGACGGCAGAGUAACGCGUAGGAACAUACCCCAAACUGAGGGAUAACUGCUCGAAAGAGUAGCUAAUACCGCAUGUGGUCUUAGGCUAAAGCUUCGGCGUUUGGGAAUGGCCUGCGUCUGAUUAGCUUGUUGGUGAGGUAAAAGCUCACCAAGGCGACGAUCGGUAGCUGGUCUGAGAGGAUGAUCAGCCUGACUGGAACUGAGAACGGUCCAGACUCCUACGGGAGGCAGCAGUAGGGAAUUUCCACAAUGGGCGAAAGCCUGAUGGAGCAACGCCGCGUGCAGGAUGAAUGCCUUCGGGUUGUAAACUGCUUCUAUGUGCGAAGAAUUUGACGGUAACACAUGAAUAAGGGUCGGCUAACUACGUG